UGGGGAAUAUUGCACAAUGGGCGCAAGCCUGAUGCAGCCAUGCCGCGUGUGUGAAGAAGGCCUUCGGGUUGUAAAGCACUUUCAGCGAGGAGGAAGGUUAAGUAGUUAAUACCUGCUUGAUUUGACGUUACUCGCAGAAGAAGCACCGGCUAACUCCGUGCCAGCAGCCGCGGUAAUACGGAGGGUGCGAGCGUUAAUCGGAAUUACUGGGCGUAAAGCGUACGCAGGCGGCUAAGUAAGUCAGAUGUGAAAGCCCCGGGCUCAACCUGGGAACUGCAUUUGAAACUGCUUAGCUAGAGUGCGACAGAGGGUGGUAGAAUUUCAGGUGUAGCGGUGAAAUGCGUAGAGAUCUGAAGGAAUACCAAUGGCGAAGGCAGCCACCUGGGUCGACACUGACGCUCAUGUACGAAAGCGUGGGUAGCAAACAGG
rnacentral:rRNA from 1 species